AUACGGAGGAUCCGAGCGUUAUCCGGAUUUAUUGGGUUUAAAGGGUGCGCAGGCGGCCAUUUAAGUCAGCGGUUAAAUCGUGGGGCUCAACCCCAUUCUGCCGUUGAUACUGGGUGGCUUGAUUGCGGUAGAGGUUGGCGGAAUUCGUUGUGUAGCGGUGAAAUGCAUAGAUAUGACGAAGAACACCGAUUGCGUAGGCAGCUGACCAGACCGCAAAUGACGCUCAUGCACGAAAGUGCGGGGAUCGAACAGGAUUAGAUACCCUGGUAGUCCGCACAGUAAACGAUGAAUACUUGUUUUCGGCGAUAUAAUGUCGGAGGCAAAGCGAAAGCGAUAAGUAUUCCACCUGGGGAGUACGCCGGCAACGGUGAAACUCAAAGGAAUUGACGGGG
rnacentral:rRNA from 1 species